ensembl:lncRNA
GUAGUAAUCAGUAUAAUUAUUUUAUAGUUAUCGGUAGUUAUCGUUACAGUUAUCAGUGUAAUUGUCUUUAUAGUUAUCAUUAGUUAUGGGUAUAGCUAUCAUUACAGUUAUCUGUAUAAUUAUCUUAAUAGUUAUCGGUAUAGUUAUUGUCAGUUAUUGCUAUAGUUAUCAGUGUAAUUAUUGUUAUAGUUUUAUAUAUUAGUAGAAUUAUCGGUAUAGUUAUUGUUAUCUUUAUAGUUAUCACUUUAAUUAUCGAUAUAGUUAUUGAUGAUCGUUGUUGUAGUUAUCGGUGUAAUUAUCUUUAUAGUUAGUUACAGUAAUCAGUAUAAUAAUUUUUGUAGUUAUCUUUAAUUAUCAGUGUAAUUAUAUUUUAUAGUUAUCAUUGUUAUUGUUACAGUUAUUAGUGUAACUCAUUAUAGUUAUCAUUAGUUAUCAGUAUAAUUAUUGUUACAGUUAUCGGUAUAGUUAUCGAUACCAAUGUUGUUUUUGUUUGUUUGCGUGUAUAUUUGUUUGUUUCUAAAUACACAAUGUACAUUCUCGUGCAGCUGCUAUGAACCUGGAGAAGUUAAAGCUCUUCAGACAUUACUAUGUGAUGAUCGUGUGUUAUAUCUACUUCACGCGGAUCAUCGCGAUACUGCUGGAGUUGACGGUGCCGUUCCAGUGGCAGUGGUGUCAGGAGGUAAUCACACUAGCCCCGCUUUAACAUAACAUGAUAACAUAAAUAAGAUAUGUAGAUGGCGUUUCAGGGGUCCAGACUAACAUUUGAGGGCAGUAGCACCAGCACCACUAAGUUCUGCAGACGAUGGCUCCAGGAGCAGAUUUGGUUGCGCUGGGGGUGAGGAGGGGUUAUUAAAGAAAGAUAAUUUAAUCAGAAAAUUACUAUUGAUUUGCAUUAAUAAGAGCAGUUACUCAUAGUAUUACAUGUUUUAUUCUUAGUAAGACACAUUUGACAGUAAAGCAUUGAGCUUGAGUUGAUGCAUACAAAAUUACUUUUUAACAACAGUAACAUGGAAAAUAUUUAUAUAGAAAAUUAAUAUAGGCUAUUCUACUCGCAUUAAAUGUACCAUUAUUCUUAGUGUUAUGUGUAACUGACCGAUAAUAAAAGGAACACUAUGUGAUUGUUGAAAAUUGAG